GGGCGUCCUGCGAGGCUUUCAGGCUGCUGAGCCUGUUCCUUGGCUGGGGUCGGUAGGGCUUGGAGCCAGCCGUUCAAAGUCACCCCUGGGAAGCGCCCGCAACCCUUGGGGACGCCUCUCCUCCGGCUGCCCCCCUUCCCUGGAAUCCAGGUGUCACUGGGGCCGGGGAGGGGCUAGGAGCUCGGAUUUCUGCUUUGGGAAGUUUUUACAAGCCCACCCUCCCCCUGCCUUGGUUCCCCGAGCCAAGAAUUUCAGAAAUCCGGGGCACAAAAACGCCAGUGUUUGCGGUCAAGGAUUAAAGGCGCGAGGUGUCUUUAUUUAAUCUGCUCCGCCCUGCUCGGGUUUGCACGAGAAACCAAGCCUGGGAGCGACGGUCCACGCAAGCGGAGACACAGGCAAGUCGCGUGAGAGCACUUUUCUGAGCCCGAGUUGCUUGUCUUUUAUCGCCCGUGAGGAGGUAAAGAAAGGCAGACCUCUCCGGUGCACAAAUAAAGGAGCCGUGUUGUGACUUGCCGGCUCUGAGAUUGGGAGGCAGAAAAUAAAUACAAACCGCGACCUCAGUCCUGACCGUACCUCUAGCAGCCCCUCUGCUCCUGGGAGCUGUAAAUGCUUAAGUAAAUAAACCGCAAACCAGAAAAAUAAGGGCUUAGGAAAGAGCCGCUCACACAGAGAUGCGCAUCCAGGCGGGGCGCUCUCCAAGAGCUCCGAAUGGGGCAAGGUGGGUUUCACCCGCUGCCAAGUAAUGCCUGGGCUCCCGGGCUACACGCUGCUUAGGGCUCCGGCUUUUGCAAGGAGGGGAAGAGCUAAGCCCGGAGGCAGUCAGCCGACUGCCCUGUCUUGCCUCAAAUGACGUAUAUUCAUUCCUCAAACGUUUCCUGAGUGUUUACUAGGUGCCAGGCGCUGGGGCAUAGUGGUGAGCCAAACGCAUUAUAGCAUCCCAGACAGGCACUUCCUGACGCCGCCUAAAGAUCUGUUAUAACAAUAGUAAUAAUAAUGAUAAUAAUCAAUGGGGAGGCUGAUUUUAUUGAGCCCAGACCACAUGCAGUUUUCAUGCGUCAUGCUAUUGAGUUUUACCAACUGUAGGUAUAUUUAUUAUAUCUAUUUGGCAGGUGCACAAUCCAGGGCUCAGAGAAAUCAGGUAACUUCCCAAAUGACCCCUCGAGUUAAGUGGUACAGCCUGGACUCCCGUUCCAGACUCUACGUGUAUGAAACCCUUGUCUUUGGGGAAAUCCACCGCCAUUGCCUUAAAUAGCCUCUCUCCCCAUUUAGGAGCAGCCUCUGAGCCCUUGGGCAAGUCAUUUUCAUCUCUUUGCCCCAGUUUUGCCAUCUGAAGGAAAUUCUUAUUAGAAUAUGUCUACUUUUUAGCAGGAUUCCUUAAUAUAAAAUCGAGUCUCAUGAAACUUUAGGAACAAAUUAGAGGAGAAUCAUAGCUAAUAGUUAUUACUGACAUAAUAAUGCCAAAACGAAUCAUAAUUAUUGACACUUAUUGGGUGAAUGCCAUGUGUCAGGCAUUGGUCUAAACUCUUUCUGUAUAGCACCUAAUUAAAUCCUAUUAAGCCAUUUUUUACUUAUGAGAAAACUGAGGGGGGGCACAAAGCGAUUAAAUUACUUCCUCCAAAGUCACACAAAUAGCUGAGUCUUGAACCCUGGUCCUAAACUACUAGUCUCCGCUACCUCCCCAAUGUAAACAUGUGCACUGUAUUUGCCUGCUCAGAUAAGCAUUUAAUGUCAGUCCAGGAAGGGGCAAAGCUCUUGAAAUAGACAAAGUUUGUGUUCACGAUAUUCACUCCUGCCCUCCGUUCCCUGUCAGCAUUAUCCCCUGGUCACUGGACGCUGGGGUCUAGUGCCUAAUACGUUAAGCUGCUUCUCCCCAUCAUCAAGAAACUGCCGCAUCUGCCAUAUAAAGGAGAUGUUUCUCAUUCGCCCCCACUCAUCUCUUCCCCCAUGAAAACCUCUUCCAUUUUCAAAGGAUCUUCGGCUCUACUUUUCAAGCAAAUUCAACAAAUCAGUGUAUGCCUGUGUAACUGGUAAAUAGUGAAGGGUAAUUAUUUCAUGUGCUUCUAACUCAGAAACAAUGGAAUAUUAACAGCGGUUUUCUGAAGAUCCAGUUGGACAAUUUUCAUUUUCAUCAUAUAAUGGACAUUUAUCUCCUACCUGCAUUAUCCACUGUCUUCCCUCGGAGACCACAAAUUUCACUGAAGGCAGCAUCUAUGUCUUAUUCAUGCUUGUGCUCUCUACCUCCCCUGACCCAGAAGGACUUAUUCUUCUUUCUGCACAUUUUAGUAGAUGUGUUAAAAAAAAAAAAAAAAAGUUUGUUAAGAAGAUGUUUUAAUGGAAGGUGUGUCAGGCAUAUGGCAGGAUACAUGACCAUAUUUUUGGAGCAUGCAACACCUCGUAGCCCAUCUCUAUCAUAGCCUAUUUUCUCCGCCUGUAUGUAUGGAUAAUCCUAUUCAACAUUUUUAAGGUCUAGAAGCUGCUAGGUCACUAGAAAGUAAUUUUGCUAUGAUGUGAAGAGGUUCUCUAUGAUGAUGUAUGACUGAUAAAUUAUGAUGAUUAAUGUCAGAAUAUAAGGGUCACUGCCUAACUCAUUCUCUGUUAUCAGUAGAGGGAAAGGAGCUGCUUUCUCUUCACUAUUUUUUUCUAGAAGAAUUUUCUAUCCCUGUGUUUUCCAGUAUAGUGACUACUAGCCAUUUAGGCACGUAAGAUGUGGCUAGUUCUGAGAUGUGAAAUAGAUGUUAACACAUUGAAUUUCAAAGACUUAGUACAAAAAAAAGCAAAAUAUCUUAAUUUGUAUAGUGAUUACAUGUUGAAGUGGUAAUAUUUUGGAUAUUUGUGUUAAAUAAAAUAGAUUAUUAGAAUUUAUUUUACCUGCUUUUUCCUUUUUUAAUAUAGCUACUAGGAAAUUAAAAAUUACAUGUAUAGCUCAUAUCAUAUAUUAUGCAGCACUGAUCUAGAAAACCAAGAAUCUGAUUCCCAGGAUCACAAUUCGAGAUGAUGACCAGCCCAUUAAAAUGGCCAUUUAUGACUUUGCCCUUGAAAUGUUCAUGCAGGGAACUACGAGGGCUUUGCAAGGUCAGUACAGUAUCAUAGACUGAGCAGAAGUCUGAAGAAAGUCCAAAACUAGCACUUGAGCCUACCCCCAGGGAAGACCUACAAAUAGAAGCAGGUUUCAUCAGCAGUACACAGCUGAAAACUCUAACUGAAUUCAUCUGCCUAGAAGCCCACCUCAAAUGCUGCCCUGGUUAAGAGAGCAAGAUAAGCUGGAGAAAGGAGGGAUCGGAGAAAAUGGUUUUGACACCCAGCUGUACCAUUUAUAUCCUGUUUUGUUUUGUUUGAUAAAGUGAUACUAACAAUCCUUGCCUUGUCAAUCUCACUGGGUCAAUGGGUCAUAGGACAUGAAAGGGCUUUGCAAACUCACCCUCGCUAUACUAAAGUAAGAGAAUAUUAUUGACAAGAAUGGAGAUAAUGUUGAUGCGUCCUGAUACAGUACUCAGUUCCAAACCAAACUUCAGAUUAUUGGGGCAGCACUAUUCCCAAUUUUCUCUCAGGCAUAAGAUUUCAAUUGCCUAUGGAGUGUAAUUGGAUUGUGACUCAAAGAAUAAAUGUUUGAGGGGGAUGGAUAGCCCAUUCUCCAUGAUGCGCUUAUUUCACAUUGCAUGCCUAUAUCAAAAUAUGUACCCCAAAAUGUAUACACCUACUAUGUACCUGUAAAAAAUUUAAAAAAAAAGAACAGAAUCACCUAUGAAUGUCACAAUGAGCCUUGAGUGCUUUAAUUAAUAACUCUAAAUGACACUUAAAUGGCAAGAAAGAAUGUCCAACACCCAAUCAUAGAAUUCAAUCUAUAUUUUGGCACUGACACUAUAUUAUCUAAUGUGAUGGACUACCAUUGACCAUGGAAAACAUCAGCAAAGACAAAUAGCUACUGCAUAGCUAGUCCAACUAGUCUCUCUUGGUCAUUGUGAAUGUUUUAUGGUGGAGGGAUAGAGUCACAGCCCUCGUGGAAACUCACAAAAUCCAUGGGCACUUGCCCCAGCACAACACAGAUACUGCAAAUUUCUGCACCAGUUCUUAAGUUUCUUGUACCAGUCCUCUAAAAAUCAUUCAUAGAUACUCCCACAAGACUAGAUUAUCUUUUAGCUGUAUUUUUCGGUGAUUUUUGUCUCACCAUUCAGAUAACCUCUUUGAAGAUAGGGACUAAGUCCUAUAAAUGUAGGACCCUUUGCAGCAUCUUGUUCUGCUCUGGAUACAGAGUAAGCAUUCAGCACUUACUGGCUAAUUGGAACUUACAAAGAUGACCAGAAGAAAUGACCUACAGACACUUAAUCAACCCUACUUGACAUGGAAAAAGUGGAGUUGCUAUUCGAACAAGGGCAGGAGAGAGGACGACUUGGUAUGGAGCUAUAGAAAGUAAGAUGUUUUCUGAAUCCAGGCUCUAGAUAUCCUGUGAGAAUGAGAGAAGACACAGCAAGAGGGCCUAUUUUUGUUGUCCUAUCUCUGAAGUGCGGAAGAAACUGCUGGUCAGUCACCUUGUGAGUGGAGG
rnacentral:lncRNA from 1 species